rnacentral:rRNA from 1 species
UACGGGGGGAGCAAGCGUUGUUCGGAUUUACGGGGCGUAAAGGGCGCGUAGGCGGCCUCCGCAAGUCAGUUGUGAAAUCUCCGAGCUUAACUCGGAAAGGUCAACUGAUACUGCGGGGCUAGAGUGCGGAAGGGGCAACUGGAAUUCUCGGUGUAGCGGUGAAAUGCGUAGAUAUCGAGAGGAACACCUGCGGCGAAGGCGGGUUGCUGGGCUGACACUGACGCUGAAGCGCGAAAGCUAGGGGAGCGAACGGG